GUGAAUCAUCAAAUUUUUGAACGCAAAUUGCACUCAUUUCGGAGAGUAUGCCUGAUUGAGGGUCAGCCUAAAAAAAAUCGACAUAGUUGCUGUUAAGCGGUAACAUUCGUUGGAAAUUGGGUCAUAUCAAAACUGUGGGUUUAAGCGGUUAAAAAUUCUGUGUACGAUUCCAAGAACGUUUCUAAGAUUAUAUCUUCUUAUACGUUUAAGGUAUCGAUCUUUAUUAGAUGCUGUUGUUGCAUCGGAUCCUGUCCAUAAAUAUUUCGU
rnacentral:misc_RNA from 1 species